AUGGAGGCGCCUGCUGCGGACCCGGAGGUGAGGCGCGGGCUUGUCAUCGCCACGACGAGGAGGACGGCAGGGAUGGCGGAGGCGGAGAGGAGGUUGACUCGAUGUGCGGUCGUGGCGGUGGUCUUCGGAGCCCCGCGGCAAGUCGAGCUGGUUGAUGUCAAGAGGGCGAUGGCCAUGCGGUUUCGGAUCCAAGAAGAUGCUGUGAAGGUGUCCCCGCGGGCUCUGGGAGAGAUGCUGCUCAUCUUCGAUGACACUGCGGUCAGGGAUAGGGUGCUCUCCGGCCAGGGACCGCUCGUCCUCGGCCAGCUGUCUCUCCUGGUGGCGCCCUGGUCACGCUUCCGACGGGCGUCGCCGGCCAAGCUGCUCUACAAGGUGCGGGUCUGCCUGGAGGGGGUCCCGGAGCAUGCCUGGGACAUCGACUCCGUCGCAUCGCUCUUCGACCCGUCAAUGCUCAUAGAUGAAGUCGACCAUGAAGUGCGGCGGGAGGAGGAGACGGGGUGUUUCCGGUUAUGGGUGUGGAUGGAUGCGGUGGAGAAGCUCAAGACUAGAGGUGUGCUGCAGCUGGAGGAGCCACGGGAGGUGGGAUCUCCGGAGAUGCAUUUCCCUGAGAUCAACAUCACUCAGGAAGUGCCGGCGCGCUGGGGGCAAGUGUCUAUGCUUGGGCACCCAGUGCUCAUUCAUCUUGACCAUGUGGUGGAUUUCACCUGUCCGCCGGAGUCCAGCCCUAGUAGCGGUAUGAGCUGCGACAGUGGAGUCAGUGGCCUGCCCUCGGAAGAUGGUGCGAUCGACCCGUGGCCAGCCAGAUGGGGGUACCGGUGGUAUCUCAACUAUGAAGACGUCGAUUUCCCGCCACCGCCGCCUCGCGCGCCAGUUCACUCGAGGCUCCGUUUCCCUGAUGCCGGAGGCAGUGGUGGAGGUGGAGGUCGGAGAACCUAUGGUAGCGGCAGCGGCUACAGGGAAGCCAUUGUGGGGAUGCAGCAGCUGGGGGGAGGAGGACGCCAACGACAAGAGAGAGAAGGAUCGGGCGGAGGGAAUGGCGGCGGUGGAAGAAGACGCGCUGAGCUGCCGGAGGCACCGCCACUCAUCGACACGGCGGUCCUGGAAGAUGCUCCGACGGGUUCUGACCCGUUUCCUUGCACGGUCGAGGACCUGCAGGUCUCUCACAUGCAGCUGCACGGGAGGGAGACCAUGGACCUAGAUGGCAUGGAUGUGGGGGGCAGGAAGAUGUGCCAGAGGGACCGCAGGCUCGUUCUUGUGAAAGAGAGCUGGCUCUGGGCGCGGGUCAGCCGGCGCAGCUGGCCGCGCCUCUGCAGGAGGAAGGCAGGGAGAAUGAGGAAGGGAGGACGACGCCCAAUGUGGAGGUGGGGGGCGUGCAUGGCCUUUUUAAUGCAAGCCAGCCCAUUGGUGCAUGUGCGCUGCUCGCGGAGGGCCCCAGCGAGGAUGGAGUGGCGGGAGACGACCCUUUGA
rnacentral:rRNA from 1 species